rnacentral:rRNA from 1 species
UACGAAGGGGGGCUAGCGUUGCUCGGAAUCACUGGGCGUAAAGCGCACGUAGGCGGCUUUCUAAGUCAGGGGUGAAAUCCUGGAGCUCAACUCCCAGAACUGCCUUUGAUACUGGAGAGCUUGAGUCCGGGAGAGGUGAGUGGAACUCCGAGUGUAGAGGUGAAAUUCGUAGAUAUUCGGAAGAACACCAGUGGCGAAGGCGGCUCACUGGCCCGGUACUGACGCUGAUGUGCGAAAGCGUGGGGAGCAAACAGG